AGAGGCCCAAAGGCUCUCACAGGCCCAGCUACUAUUUUUUCCACUUAUUAUUAUCUUCUUCACUUUUUCUUUCCUCACAGCUGCUUUGCUUCAAUUUCCGUUGUGCCCAAACCCAGGUGAACACGAGCUUGGUAUGUCAUUCUUGCCGAGUCGAAUCAAAGAAGGAUUUGAAAACCAAAAUCAAUUUGGAGAUGGAACUGAAGAUGGAGCCGCAAAAAAAUUCUUGCCCAAAGAGGAUUUCAAAGCCUGCAAUUGAGAUUUCUGUACACAAAUUGGGGCUUUGAAUAUUGUUUUCUGGCUUUGUGAGUCCGAACAAGGCAAGGGUGCACUUAGGGUUGUGAUAGCAAUAUUCCUGCCUUUGACUCUUCCGGUGCAUAUGUACUACAGGGGAAACCCACCGGGUUGAUGCUGUUAUUGAGGUUCAAGCAGGACAGGUGAUUGUAGUCACAAUAGCUUCAAAGUCUCGAAGCUUUAUUUUAAGGAUUCGGUGAAGCAUGUAGCUUUGACCUUCUUUAUGGUUUGAAACUGCUACAGAGACGCUGCUUCCAGGAUUUGAGAGAGAAAGGCUUGUUGCUGCUACAAUAUAGGAAGGCCUGCUGCUGGGAUUUGAAAGCGCAAGGCCUACACCAGAGGCGCCACUGCGAUAUGUUCAUCGGGACGCUGCCCGACAUGUUCAUCGGAGACGCUGCUCCGGUACGGAUCAUCGGGACGCUACCCGGCAUGUUCAUCGGAGACACUGCUCAGGCAUGGAUCAUCGGGACGCUGCCCGGCAUGUUGGUUUUGACAUCAUUGACACCCGAAGGUGCCGCUGUGAGGAGGGCCUGCAACAGAAAAGAGAAGGUGGUGGAGAGCUAUGGAAUGAGGUCCUGAACCUUUUGUCUUCCAAGAUCCUUUGCUGCUUUCUCCUUCUGCUUUUCCACCAUUGCUGUGCUCCGUUGCGUCCUCCCCUUCCCUCCUUUUUUACGUUAGCACGGCUUUCUUAUAUAAUGUACUGCUAACGAGAUUGAGUUCACAUGAACUUCUUGUGUCUGUUGUAAAUUGAAUGUGAACUUCUUGUGUCUAUUGUAAAUUGAAACACUGAUAAGAGAACCUCUUUGUAUGAAUUGUAGUUGAACUCCAACAACCUUGUGCGUGUCACAAUUAUCUUCCCAGGGGAAGAAUGUGACAUGGGUUUUUAGCCUUUAAUUCAAAAUUCUCUUUUCUUUUU